CCUUCCCGGCAGCCCUUGCUGGCUCUGCCCCAACCAAACAAAGAGGGCAGGAGCUUUUCAAACAGCAGCCUCCCAAAAAGUUGGCUGCAGCGGAGCUGGGCUCUGUCGGGACCUUUGCUGACCCAGGCCRCUGGAGGAUGCAGCAGCUGCAGCGAGCCGGUGCCUUCGCCUGGAAGGAUCGAGCAGUCAUCUCCAGUCCCCUGCAUGGUACAGCACAGUCUACAGUCUCAAAAGGCAGGCUCUAAAGCACUGACCGUUUCCAAGGAGGAGCYUGCAAAGCUGGAGUCCCCGAUUCUGCUAACUGCAACGUUACAGGCCACCAAAGAGACGUGAAGCUCUGGGGAGGACCUGCUCGCUUCCAGGGACCUGCCAGCCUUGCACGAGGAACUUCUGCUGUUUCCCGGGACUUGCACCGAGCUCCCCAAGCUCCUGAGCAGAGCCUGCUGCUGCUCCGGAUCCUAGUGUGCCACUUGGCCAGAGCAGGACACAUCUGCAUUGGGCAUGAACAYAAACAACCACAGAAAUAGGAAUUAGAGGUGGCCCAGGCACACAGCAGGACUUGCAUUGCUCUGAGUUUUGAAACAAGAGGAGGCAACUGCUUUUUGUGUAUUACCUAAGCCACCAUUGGAAAUAGUAGCCAGAAAAUCAACACUUAAUGAGUUAGCCAUCCCGGUCCUUUGCAUACACAUGAUAUUGUUUUCCUUAUCACAGCAAAAGGGGGAACGCUCACUGUUCACCUCUGAGAUAGUGACAGACUUUACCUGAAACGAUGAGGCCUGGCUGCCUUGGCCAAUUGCAUUUCCAAAUGUUGUGUAGCCACUCAAGGACUUUCUAACAACAGCAACUUCUAGGUGGCUCAGAAAUGUUUUCUGAGUGGAUUUGGAGUAAGUUUUCCUUCCUCUAGCAACCUAUCUACUGUUUUUCAGAGGGGAAGCAAACCCCAGCCAUCUGAUGCCUUCUCCCAGCUCUGGCCCAGCUCUCCUUCUCUCUCCAUCACUGGUAUGCUGAUGGCAGCAGGGAACUGAUGUCUGGUUUGGGACGUCAGGUAGAGCAGAGCUUGUUCCUGCCCUCUGUGCCCUUGCUGGACCAGGGGUCUCGGCCMGACCUUCUGUUCUGAAGCGCGUGCCCUCAUGAAGUUCCUGCUUGAGUGAGGGAUGUGUUUCCUGGCCAUCCCAAUUGCUUCCAAUCCCAGCUGAAAGCCCUGCCUCCUUCCAUCUCUUCGACUUGGGAACCCGGUGUCUAGCAAAGCAUCRUCACUGCUCAGAGCUUGGGGUGGUCCUGUGUGGAGCCACAGCCACUGCAGGCAGCCGGUGACAAAAAACUAGCGGAGUGG
rnacentral:lncRNA from 1 species